UCAAAAAGUGCUAUUGAUUUAGAUGUUGAUACUGCAUAUUGGGCUGGUAAUAUUAUGUCCAUAUUAUGUUAUAAAUAAUUUUGAGUAUUGGGCCUACCAUUUGUUUUUUUCAAUUAUUUCUCUCUUAGCCCUAGAUACUCUCUCUCUCUCUCUCUCUCUCUCUCCUUUCCCCGCCCGUUCUCUCUCAUCGGUGAUCUUUUUCUCACUUCAUGACAAUAUCUCCUCCAAUUCUCUGUCCUUUCUCUCGCGACUCUGGCUCCGAUGAAGCUCUUCUCUCCUAUGCCGCAUAAGAUUUUCUCUCUCUUUGGAUUUGUGAGCCGUAUGAGGUAUCAAUAUCCAUCUCUGCUGUAUUUGUGUGUAUAUAUGUAGAACGUAGAGAUUGAUUGAGAUUGGGCCAUUCUAAGUAUCAAUCUCCAAUUCGUUGCUCUGUUUCUCUUUAUAGGCAACUAGUUCUUUUGAUUGGCACAAAGCUACAACAUAUUAUUGCGACCCUGGCACAAGAGAAUGCUGGUUUAAGAGUUCAUGGAGAAAGGAAGAGGCCAGGGAUGAUCUUUUCUGGUUUAAGAAGCCAGAACUUCUGUUAUCACUGAUCCAUUUUUGUUCUAUUCCAGUGGAGGUUCUCUGGGAAUAAUGGUGGUCUUUAUGGUGAAAAGGGCAUUGUCACUGGAAGAAAAUGUCCCAAGGGCCUCUAUGGCACUUACUGCAGGGUAUGUUUCAUAUUUCCAAUGGUACCCAAAAUAUGUUUUUUUUCCACUUCUGAAUCUUUAUUGUUACUUGUCUAUAUGCACACACACAGGCGUCAUAGUUUGUAGCUUAAUUGUUUAUGUUGAACAUGGAGGCAAAAUCAUUCUUCUUCCUAUUUAUUAUUCCGUUAUAAUCACUAGAAAUCAGGGUAGUACAAGUUCCAUGAAAUAUAAAGUAGGGUACCUAGAACUGAGAAGAGAUUUUUCAAGUUUUAUGUUAUUUGAAUGUUGAAUUAAAGCAAUGAAACUCCCAUUUUGUUGUUUUCUUGACUAAGAGAAUAUUCUUAGUGCUAGCACUCAGUCUACUUAUACAAGUUGAAUUGUGUUUUACAUAAAUUUUAUUUAGUUGCUAUACAAUUUUACAUGAAUGCCCCAUUGGCACAUAUAAAGAUACUGAUGGCUUAGAUGACAAUCUUUGUGAUCCUUGUUCACUUGAUCUUCUUCCUAGUCGUGCUGAGUUCAUAUAUAUAUGCGAGGUAGCUUUACAUAUCCUAUUUACUUCUUUGUAGAAUUUUUGGUUCCUAUAAGUGUAUAUCUGACAUGUGUGAACUCUUUCUCUCUCUCCCGUUCUUUCGAUUUUGUUUGGGUAAUUUGAUUUGUAUUGUUGAUUUCAGUGGUAGAGGGAUUUGAUUCAAUGGCUCUCACUUCACGACCAUCAUGGGUACCUGCAAAGCUAUUCUUAUGCUAUUCUCCGUUGAUGUCGCAUUAGAGUUUUAAGGUCUAUGCUACUUUAUUCACUCCAAUCGCGCUAUGGAUUUCGUGGAUGACCAAGUGUAUAUGAUCGACUCCUAAGGAUGACCACUAGAGCGACCCCAAUACUAUAACAGACAAUAUCGAUGUCGCCGAAGUCAUUGGAGAAGAAGAGCAAAGACGAAUGCCAUCCAUGGCUAUUGGUGCUAUUGGUUCGUUGUCCGCUUUUUAAGUGAAAUAUAGAAGUUUUUUUAAAUUUUAGCAGAACUUUUUUAGCUAGAAUUUUAUUAUGAUGACUUUGAUUCUCUAAAUUCUACUUUUUGAAAGUUAUUCACUUCUUAAGUGAAACAUGUAUCUGGACCGUGUUAGUUAAUAUGAUGAUA